GUUGAAUUCUUCCUGCCUCGGCCAUUUCCAGAACGUUUGACUCUACUUGCUCCAAGUUCCGUAAAGUUUUCUCGGCCAACUGAGAGAGGUCGUGGUCCUUGCUAGCGAGAAGGCCGGCCAGGUGAAUUACGGCUCCUUUCCCUGUGCCUAGAACCUCACAAACCUCUAGGCUGCUGGUUGAGAGAUGGUAUAGUAACCGAGCAGCAUUUGCUUUCUCUUCGUCUUCCUUGCUGCCAAGGCUUCGCACGCUGAAUCUUAAGAAGCCUUCCUUCACGAUGAUGUGCUGUGACAAAGAUAGCAGAAGAGAGCCUAAGUUACUUUCAAACAGAAAACUUUUUGCGAAUCGAACAUACCUGAUUGUCGGCGUCGUCUACAGCCAUCCUGUCGAGAACUUCGAGCGCUUUCGAGCGGAAAUAAGCAGCACCUUCCAAGCUCCAGAUCUUUGCAAUCUUGGGGAUGAGGUUAGCACUCUUGAUCUUCCACUUGUUCAUCGGGUUCUCGUUGAAAAGCCGGAGGAUCUCGUCGAGAGCACCGUCCACGUCCUGCAUGAGCUCCACAGCUGUGAGCCUGUCCACCACGCUCUGCACUCGAAACGCUACAUUCCUCUGGUACCACUCCUCGAUGGUCUUUCGCAGCACAAGGUUGGAAUGGAGCUCCGUGGUCGACAAGACGCGUCCACUGCUCGGACAAGUCGGCUCCCUGUCCUGCUCCCGGCACGUCCGAAACCAUUCCUCGAUUGCAUUCCGCUCGUAGGUGUGCUCCGACUCGAGCACCACCGGGUCCUUCAUGACUUGUUUCGUGAGCGGGCACUCGAAGGCAUCGAACGAUGGUAUCGCCUCGUUGUCAGUCUGUAGCAAUGCCGAGUUCUCACAAGCCAGAGUGCUCAAAAGUUCCUCCACCAUGGUUUCCAGCUCGUCCUUGUCCUCGGUGCUGAUAUCCGCUUUGAAGUACCGGAGCUCUCGAGACAAGAGCUCCCUAUCUCUUUCGAAGUUAAUGCCCAGAUCCGUGGAGAACUUCACGAUGAGCGAGUCAGCGUCGAGGUCUAGCAGAUUUCGCGUCUCAUCCUCCUCCGCAUUUGGAACCUGGUAAAGAAAACUCUCUUUUCCCAUUAUUUAUUUUGAGUGACUCUUACCUCGUAAGUUGUUUGUUUCAUUCUCGAGAUGAGAUUGUCGAGCUUCGAUCUGGAAUUUUCUGACAAGGAGCUGCUCGCGUCCUGGAGCUGGGCGAGCGAGUUUUCCAAUCCACGCACGACCUCUUCCACCUCACGGUUGAGCACACGCAGCCAAACGAUCAUAUACAGCCGCCGCUUACGCUUGUGCCUGCUAACCAUGCCCUGCGCCUUCCUCACACUGUUCGUCAGCGCCGCGCAAGCGCUGGCAGCGCCUUCUCCCAUCCUCAAAUCCCCCAAUUCCCGAUCCAGCACCUCCUUGAUCCCUUCCAGGAAAGAAAUAAGCUCCUUGAUGCUCUCUUUCUUGGCGAUCAUCGCAUUGGCAUCCUGGAUGACAGCGCUGAGCUCCUUGAGCAGUACGGCAACGCCCGGGCUUGCCAUAGCCGCCCAAUUGCAAGGCGCGCCUCCCCAAAACCUAGUUGAUAGGCCGCACGGCCGCGAGCCACAUUCUCACCUGUUCUAACGCGAUCGAUCGAUGCACCAGACGCGCAGCGCUUUGACCCAGCUCGACUCACGCGCAUAAAGUCAACAUAAAUUUGUGUUUGACCUAAAAACUCAUUUGUACUCUAACGCGAUCUUUGACACACAGAGAAACCAUCUUGUUUGUAGGUCUUCGGUCUGAUGCCGGAGAAGAACAGUAUCUUGGCGUAUGCCCCACAAGGGCAUCUUGAUGUAGCUACAAGCUACUUUGCCGAGAUGCCUUUAACCUGCUUGGCGUCUACGCACAAAGGGCAAAGAGGAUCUUCGAUCAGAUGCCACCGUCUCCUGGAACUCGAUGCUCUCUGCACAUACCCAGAAUGGGUAUCUGAAAGAAGCCAACCGGACCUGGUUUCAUGCAAUUCGACUCUUUACAUUUCCUCUCUCAACGAUAGCCUGAAUGACUCUCACAAUUCCAUGCUCGCAGCCUACAAAUGAUAUCUGGAAGACUGUAAGUUUCUCUUUGAUAACAUGCAGGUCUGGCUGCAAAAUUUCUAUCGAUCGAUUGUUCUUUUUGAGCAUUUUUUCCUAGACCAUCAACCUUUUAGAGACGAGCAAAAGGAAGAGCUCAAGGCCAUUGGAGGUGACGAAGUCAAAUUUGAAGAAGAUCACAAGUGGUAAAAUGGCAUACGGGCAAUCGACGCUGUUGGAGGUCCUCUAGUUUCUUUCACACUUAGGUGGUGUGUUCCUGCAUGAGAGACCAAGGAACGAUCCUUUGCUACAGUGUUCUUGACGAGAAACCAGAAGCCCAAAUGAAUGUCAUCGACCUCAUUUUUCGGCUAGUUAAGGUGCAUGGGUUUUACGUUGUCAAGUGGAAUCUUUCAGCAAAACCACUGCCACAAUCUUCGAGUUGAUCUUGAAGAGAGCCUCUAGCGGGGGAGAAGUCAAUACGUAAAAGCCGGGUUUGUCUUUUAUAUAUUUGUGUGUUCUACUGUUUGAUUUUCGUGGUGAGCUCUUGCGUGUCAAAUAGUUCCUAGGGUGAUAAUAGUUUGUCUGUGAAAGUUUCUGAAGAGCUUACUUUGCUCAGUGCACCUCCAAUAGCGUCAUAUGCCAUAUUACCGCUUGUGAUCGUUUUCACUUCCUCCACAACAUCCUCAAUUUUGUAGUUUAUGACUUCGUCGCCUCCAAAACAAAAGAAUUUUGAAAUUCAUAAACUUGAGGAAAUAGUUCUCUAGAUAGUGCAAAAUGGCAUAUGACGCUAUUGAAGGUGCACUGACCAAAGUAAGCCCUUCUUUUAGUUUCUUUCAUAAUUCCUCUUGCUUCUUUGUUGUAAUCUCCAGGUCAUUGUGGCACAGCGCGUUCCAGCAGCUUAGAUACCAGACAGCGUGAGAAAUCAAGGAACGAUCCUUUGCUAUGGUUUUCUUGACGAGAAACCAAAAGCCCAGGUUCAUUUUUCAGCUAGUUAAGGUGCAUGGAUUUUACGUUGUCAAAUGGGUGGAAUCUUUCAGCGGCCGGACGAGUUUUGCAAAACCACCAGAGAGGAGAGCACACAGAUAUAUGAAGACCGACCCAGCUUUUAUGUAUGGCUUCGUGGGCCCUGACCAAUGGGAACCACCAGAGGAGCCAUGACUUCCUUCCAGAUCAACUCGGAAGAUUGUGGCCCAUACUUUACAUCUCUUUUGUGGUUUGUGCAGUUGUUAGCGGUUGUUGGCGACACAGGAUUUUGAGCAACACCUGUCCUGUACCAUCGCCACCUUGCAUACUGUUGUGUGAGCACUAUCGCUGAAACGCUCCACUUGGAUGGCCUUCUGCGCAAAAAACUCAAAGAUUUAUAACUGGAAACUCAAGCUUAAAAGUACGGAAGUCAAGAUUAAGAAGAAAUUCAUUGAGUCUCCUGACAGCUUCUUUGCGCCAUUCUAUGAUUCUUUGGUUGUGGUGGCACAGCUUUCCCCUAGUAACUAGUAACUUGCACAGGCUGAGGUGUUCUCACAUGCAAUUCCAUCUCUCAGUCCCCAGGCACUUCUUGUUCCACCUUCACCUUUGCUAUGCCAGGUCCUUUUUCCAUGUUUCGUGGCACAUCUUGCUCUGUCUUGCUUCCCAUGAAGCAACCAUAUGAGUGUCCCGUCCUGUAGAAUGUACACAAUGUCCACUGCUUUUUCGUUGAACGCAAGGGGACGUACGGCAUUAGUUUGACGAGGGCUUCAAGCUCCUUGUUGUGUGCAGAAGUCACAAACAGCUGAAACGGACUUAGCACCUGUCCCCAAAUGCGGAUAAAGGUUGCCAUUGCAAUGAGCGCAGACUGAGCAACGAGCUUAACUUGGUUCUUCAUCAUGUGUCUCUUUGCGAGAUAACUUGCCACCUUGAUCCGAGUUUCUUGGUUGAUCAAAAGAUCAGUACACCAAAAGGCAUGGGCACGACGUUUACUUACCUUCGCAAGACGUGCAAGCAACCGUUGAAUUCUUCCUGCCUCGGCCAACGUUUGACUUAGUUCCGAAAAGCCAACUGAGAGAGGUCUUGGUCCUUGCUAGCGAGAAGGCUGGCCAGGUGAAUCACGGCGCCUUUCUCUGUGCCUAGAAUCUCGCAAACCUCUAGGCCGCUGGUUGAAUAGCCGAGCAGCAUUUGCAUUCCUCGCUACCAAGGCUUCACACACUGAAUCUUAGGAAGCCUUCCUUCACGACAAUGUCCUGUGACAAAGAUAACAAAUGGGAGUAUAAGCAGAAACUUGCGCGAGUCGAACACACCUGAUUGCUACAGCCAUCCUGUCAACAACUUCGAGCGCUUUCGAGCGGAAAAGAGCAGCACCUUCCAAAUGGUCUUUCGCAGUACAACUUUACAAGGUUGGAAUGGAGCUCCGUGGUCGACAAGACGCGUCCACUGAUCAUGCUUCACAUGCUAAUCUCGAAAUGUUCUAACUCGAUCGAUCGAUGCUCUGGCAUACCAGACGCGCAACGCUUUGACCCAGCUCGCCUCACCCACCCGCGUAUAGUCAACACAAUACGUUGUGUUUGACUAAAUGAACUUUCAUUU
rnacentral:lncRNA from 1 species